GGCGGUGUCGCCGCACGGCUGAGGAAGUGAUGGAGAGGAAGAGGAAGACGGCCUUCUUCGGGACACUUGGGCAGAGCCCUGGUUCCCCUCCCCCUGAGCGGGGCUCUGAGCUGGGGGGGAACUCUGGGAAGCACCAAAGUGGUACCGUAGGCUCCCGUCCUGCUCCUACGAGGCAGAUGUCGAAGCAUGAUGCGGGUGUGGGAUGAAAGGGAACAACCUGAGCUCCUCCCAAAGUCUCAGUGGCAACUGCUAUAAAUCCCCUAAAGAAAAACGUCCACCGGAAAUAGAGUUGCUUGAGCGUUGGAUGUGAUGAGCUCAGGGUGGAUGGGGCAAUGGCAGAGACUCUGCUGGAUGGGUAGCAGGCUCUGUGCUGUUACCCAGCUGCCCCGCCUCAGCCUGGACGGGUUCCCGGUGACAGCCCUCAGCCAGGGAGCGAUUCUAUUUUAGCAGAUUGAUUUUAAAGGUUCUUUACAGAAAAUAUAUGCGUGCUAACUUUGCAGGAAGGCACAUCCCGCUGGGAGCUGGGCUGCUCUAGUCGAAGCGGCUUCCAUUAAUCUCACAGCCAUCCACGCUGCAAUUAAGACUCACGCUGCAGCGUGCACAGGCAGCUCGACCUUGAGCGAAACAACACAGUCAGGAAGCGGUAUUGCCUCUGAGCAUCAGCGCUUUAAUUUUUUUUCCCCCUCCUUGAGGAAAGCUUCAAAAGGAGGCAUUUCUAUAGGUGCUGCUGAAAUCUGGGGAACUUUCUCGGACGAGCCGCUUUUGCACAAUGCUCCCAAUGGCUCUCCCGAGCGUUGCUACUGCUGCGGGGCUGCCAGAGAGCGAUUGCCGCCCAGAGGGAGCCGUGCCCGGGUCUGUUCGCGGCCGGUAGGGGGUGGUGGAGGGCCGGCGGGAUCCGAGCAUCCCACCCCGAGCUGCACCAGGCAUUGGGGAUCUACCCGAAGCGCCACAUUCCCACGAACGGGAAUAUAACGGGGGCAAAGGCCUUGGAAGGCAGUACACUCGGGAAUGAGUGUAUUUCUCAUCUGGUCACCCUGCUGGGCUUGAGCACCAUGAAGAGUAGUGCCAACACUGCUCAAAGUUGUGGAAAGCUUUCCACCCAUUCCUGGCCGGUCUCAGGGGAAUUGAAGUCAUUUCAGAGCUUCACUCCUUCCCACUGGGUCAACGCAGCCCCCAUGCUGUGACGUACAGUUAGCAGGCACCCAGGGCUGAGCUCCACCACAUUGUGCCACACAGAGGGCUCACAGGGAAAAUGUCAGCUGCUGGAACAGGGUGUCAUAGCAGAGCUUCACCCAGAGUCGUGGAAGCAGGCUACACAGUGUCUUUCAAAAUAGUGUUUCCUCUAUGUAUGUGAGGAAGCAUCAAAAAGAAUAAUGAUAACUUCUCUGCAGUACUACAAGUCAAAUGUGUUGACUCUGAUGAUGAUGUAUAGUAUAGAUACUGGAAACAUAUACUGUAUAGUAUAUAAAGAUUUUAAAUCUCAAGACAGACAUUAAAUUUCAGUUUGAAAUGUGUGUAUGUUUAUUAUAUUGAUUGUAAUGAAUUCUGAAUUUAUAUAGAAUAUAUAUAUAAUGGCUGUAUGUUUUGAAAGACAAUUAAGUGAAAUACUGAACAAGUGUCAUGCGUGCAACACUUGCUAAUGAGGGCAGGUGUGCUUCUCCUUACUAGUCCAUGCAUGAAUUCCUGAUGAAACAGAUCAGUACCGAAAAGAGAGACUACUCUAUCUGAGAUUUGGGGCUGUUCUGUUUUUCCUUUGAUCUGUCUCAUCUGUCUGAGAUACGUACAUGAACUUCCCUCCUACGUUUUAUCUCAAGCCUGUAGGGCUUUUGUUUUAAAGGAGUAGGACUGAAAACAGAAUACACAAUUCUUCCAUAGUUGGCUGUAGUCUGAGGUGUAGUGUUAUGCAGCACUUUCUCUCACCUGAUGUAGUCAACGUCUACAUUUUGAACACAUGAAACUGUAUGGCUGUGUGAGUGUAUUAUGUACUUCAUAGAGCUUAGUAUUUUGUAUACGUUGAUAAAUUUUGCAAAUUAACUUGCACACUUGCAUUUGUAUUUAAUUGCUUGAAAUUGUCUGAAUUUUCUUUACAAAGCAGCAUGGAAAGGCCUUUGUGUUUCCUGAUGCAGUGUUGAUUUGCGGCUUUCAUUGGCAGUGAAUAGGUCAUUAAAAGCUUUGUCCUUUGUGUUUGUCCAGUUGUUUGACAUAAAAUUCAUCUAGCGUAAUUCUCUUCCUUUUCUCUUACGUCUUUUUAGCAACCACAAUUUCUGUAUGGUCUCAGAUAGUAGGAGACAAUAUUUCCUGUAAUCUGUGUCUCUGAUACUUUUCUGGAAGAAAGUUGGUUUGCAGUUGAGUGUAUGAUAAUGGUAGGAUUCUUAGGAUGGAAUAAAACCCGUCUUGGAAACCAUCUCUUUCUAUGUGAAAUGUUGGUCCAGUGAGAAUUUGUCAUUACAGUCCCAAGAUAUUAUCUUAAAUAGGGUGGUUAAAUGUCUCAAAAUUACAGCUUUUAAAAUGCAAAAACAUUAAACCCUGUAUACUAAUUCUGAAUCAUCUUGUGAAAAUGAGCUGAAUUUCUUUAUUCACUUCAUGUGAGAAUAUCUGUAAUCUGUUUAUAGUUCUACAUUUCCUAGUGAAACAAAACUGCUUGCUUCUCCGUGAAACUGAACACAAAUAAGGUUUUGCAAUGCUAGUCAUUCAAUGCAAUUUAUGUAAUUCAUGAAAUAUUUCAUGAGGAAGUUCAAACAGAAACCACAAGAGUUUAAACAAGAGAUGAUUCAAGAAUGUUGUGGUCUUAAAUAUAACAACAUUGCAAGUGACUUCACUGCUUAAAUCAAACAGGAGAGCUAAUACUCAGAAGAAUUCUGUAAUUUUAUUUUUAUUUUUUAUGCUUUGAAGAGGGAGUCUUAGGAACUCGUGCUUGGUGUGAUGUGGGAGGACUGUUGAUGAGCUUAGGUAGGAGGUUAUAUUUCUGUUUUAAGUUAGUCAUUCCACUAUUAAAAGUAUAGUAAUCUAUAACAAUCAAUAUAUUCUUAGCACUGUCUACCUCUUUAAUUCAUGUCUCUGUUUGGGACACAGAUAUCUAAAUGAGAAUAUUAAGGCAUUUUUCUUUUUAAUUCAAAUCCUCCCCUUCUCUACCUAUAUCCCUCCAAGAAAUCAUAAUCUUUUACUAAGGGCCUACCAACAAUACUCAAUAACGACAAUUAACCUUUGCAUUCACAGCCAAAUAAUUCAGUCUUUAAACCCUCCUUCAUGAAAGGUCAAGAUGAAAUGGUUCUAAAGUAGUGUACUUGCAAAUUCUUUUUCUCUGUGUUCCUACUGUGGGAUUUUUUCUCAGCCUCCCAAUAUGUAUAAAACCUAGACGUGUAGCCUGGGAAGCUGGAGAGAAUUCUAUGCAUAAGAUAUAGUUGUUCAGUAGACAUAGCAAAAAGGUCAAGACAACAGCAGUGCUCUCAGUAUACACUUUAGAAAAAAAUUCCAUGCUGUUGCUACUAAAAAACUGUACUAACCUGUGCCUGAGCUUUUUGACACUGUUCAUUACAGCUGUGCUAAGUUCAAAGCUCUUUUAAUGGAAAAUACAUCAAAAUCCAAGAGGUUGGUUAAAAGGAGAAAAAGCACUCUAUCUUCCUCUUCUCCAUGGUUUGGGGGAUAAAUAUUGCUGUGUCUUCUGCCAUUGUAUUCUCUACGUUAAAGAAUAGAUGUGAGAGAUUUACAUAAAGCUUAGCAAUGCUUUAUUUUUCUCCCUGAAAUGGAGGAGUUUAGUGUGUGAUACUGCUGUAAUAUGGGUUGAUUCAAUAGAUCUGAAUGUAAAACUUUGAAAUAAUGUAUAUGUUAUGCUAGAGCUUCUCAGAGAUAAAUCACUGAAAAUGUAUCUGGGAGACCCAGUCAUACUUUUUUGGUAUGUCCCUUAAUCUUUUGAUGAUUGAUGUUGCUUUCUCAAGUUCCUGAGUAGGCUGUGAGCAAAACUAUUUUUAAAGUGUUAUGACAGAAAUGUCACUAGAGACUUUUCCUGUGAAAUCAUUUCACCUUGCACAAUUUUAUAGAAACUUUACAAAUCCAUGUCCGACCUAGUUGUUUCUGCAUCCUCUAAGGAUCCAGCAUUACAAAGGACAAAAAAUAAGGAUUCAAAUAUCAAAAAAACCUGCACAGUUAUGCAUAACUCUUUUCUCACUUUGACAUGGAGGUUUCAGGGGCCUCUUAAUGGCAAAAUCACUUUUGUUUUCUUCUCCAUUCAAAAAAAAAGAAUGGAGAACAUGGAAAACACCGUUCUCUUUAGUUUUAAACACUAUACAUUUAAAGAGCUUACAGAAAACUACUUAAUAUCCUGCUAUAUAUUUGUCUGCAGGCACACAUAAUGCCAUUGUAAAAUGAGUGUUACUUAACAGUCCAAGAAUGAAGACUAACAUUUAUCUACUAAGUCAUCAGAUCCUUUGCUAAUGCUAAGAUACUGCAUUUUAACACAUUCCACAACAAAGCCCUUUGCGAAGAAAGAUGAUGUGAGCUUGCUAUCCACUGGCACUGGGUUUGUUUUCUUCAGUACCUGUUGGCUACGAUGCAACAGUGGGAGAAAUAAAAUGUGAGGCUUUAUUCUCUGUUAGCUGCAUUACUGCAGCUACACAAGGCUGGAUUAACUCUAUUACUACAUCACACAAGGGCAGAUUUACAGGCAUAUUGAGAAAGUCAAAGCUUGUGGUGCUCAACACUUUUGUAAAAAAUAUUGCUCUGUCCAUACCUCCCUUCUUACACCUCUAGAUAGUAGAGUAAGGAGGGUUGCAUGAUUUAACUCCCAGAAAUUGCUCUGCUUGUAAAGUGCUAUACAGGGACAGAGUACCUUUCUUCAAUUUCAAAUUAGUAGUGCUUUGUGAAGUCAGUCUAGUUACAUCAGCAGCAGUACAGCAGUGAUACAUCUCAAAAUCACUGCCACAAGCAGUAAAAUGCCUCAGGCAUGAAAACCUGACCUUUAGCCAUACUUUACUGUUUUAUCAGUCCUCUUCAGUUCAUCUGGGCAGCAUGGUCUGGAAUUUAUAGGUUCUACCUUCCUGCUCCUACAACUCUACGACAGACAAAUUAGAUUGUUAGCGAACAGUGGUAAACUGAAAAAAUAUCUUCCUUCUCAGCUUAUAAGAAGGUAAUUUAGUACACUGAAUAAAAAAGUAUACCACUUAGAACCACAAGCGAUUUUGAAUGUGUGCAAUCUAAUACACUGUUUGUUGUAACAUGAUCCUGAGUAGAAGAAUUUAUAGUUACAGCAUCUUGGAGGCUGCAUAGAGAUCAUUAGGCUUUAUCAUCUGUAUCAGGGUGGAAAGUUUGGGUCACUGAACGACAUCCAUACAGGUUUUUUUGUUAUUUUCUCUUUGCAAUAUUGGUGUUCAUGAUAAUUCUGCUUCUCAGUUAUGUAGGUCUUUUCGUACUCAAAAUUGUUUUUAAGGCAUUUUGAGUUGUUUUCAAGAAAGGGUAAAGAUCCACACACUUUGUAUUUAACACGAGCAAUGCAAUCACCCCAGUUCAGUAGAUACAUAGCACAACAGCUCUUUAAAAUCAAUGUAGAUUUUAAUUCAUGAAAACUUCUAAGAAAAUUCAAUUUAAUUCAAAACAGCAAAAUAAUCUGAAUAUUACUACAAUAAUUAGUACUUGGAGCUAAGAAAGAAACACCAUAAACCACUGAAAUAACAGGUAACAUUUUCUCCAUCUGAGGUUAUUCAAUAAUACAAAAUUAUAUUCUCUUUAGUAAAAGCUGGUCCACAUGCAAUAAGCAUUCCAUAAAUGGCACUUCCUAUUAGCUAGUUGAAGAUGAGUAAAUUAGCUGCUUUAUAGGAAGUUUUCAUGAAAUGAAUUGCGUUCAACAAAUCACUAAAAUACAUAAAGCAAUUGAAACUAAAAGUAAAAAAACAACAACAACAAAAAAAAAACCAGUAGUCUUUUCAUCUGCCCUCUGUCUGAUCAUAGAUCAACAGGUAUGACAAAAGUUGAAAAGCAAUUUAAAAUUUCAGGAGUUAUUUACAUAUAAUAAAGGAGGAAGAAUGAAGCCUCAGAAUUCAGGCAUUACUUUGCAUUCAAUUUGAAGCCUUAUAUUUAAAAUGAUGCUAGAUUUGAACUCGGAAAGUUACCUAACCACUGCACAUGCACCGUGUCCUGGGAAGUGUUCUGGCCGAGUGCCCUCUCUUCAUUCUCUUUUCUGAUUGCACUUCUUGUGGCUCUGGUAUAAAUGUGGUUUGACAGUAAGUAGCUUUAGAAGAAAUCAAGCCAUUAACAGCCUCAUCAUAAGAGUUUGAAGUCCUGUGUUUUUCAGGAAUGGUCCUCAUUUUCUUUAGGAGGUGCUACAAGGAAGGUACCUCUGCUAUACACAGCACCAACAGAGACUCCAUUCUGGAAAACAGCCUUCAAAAACCCAUUUCCUCCAUCAGACAUCAGUAGUUUGCAGAUCCCUUAGUAUUCCCUAAUAAUGUUACUUAGGCAUAUUGCUUGCAUCCCACUAAUGACUAACAUUUCUUAUUCCACUUGGAUGGAAAAGAGCAUCUUUUGAUUUGUCCUGCUUAGAAGCACUGAGAUUCACCUUAUUCUUUGCAAGCAUGAGUUCAACGUGCAGUAGGAGAUGGAUGGCUUUCACUUGACAAAUGGCCAGGCAAGAUAAAAUACUCAGGUCUUGCCUUUAUUGGGAAAGAGAUUUUACUAUUAACUUAAGCUAAUUUUAUUUCUUUAUGAUAAAAGGUGAUCGUACCACAACUUGUUUCUAUUUUGAAGAAAAGCCAAUUUUCUGCACUCAAAGUGAUUGCUUGGACAUCAGGAGAGCCUUUAAGAAUGUGAAUCACAGUGUAAUAGAGAGACUCCUGUCGAAGUCAUAAAGGUUCAGGAAAUAUGUAAAGUUUCAGUGUGUAUAUUUUUUCAUUUGUGGUAAUUUGUCUUGACUAAUUCAGAAGUCUCCCUACUGAGAAGGUUGGCUGUUGUAAAUUCCGUUCACUGGGUAAUAUAUGUAUGAGGAAAGAAGCUGAAUGAUCUAUGCCUUAAUAAACAGUAGAGUGCAUUUCAGAAUGCGUUACAAAGAGACUGGAAGUUUUUCCAAGAAGGCGACUUGUCCUUAAAGCUGGAAUUCAUAGCAUUUUUUAUUUCAUUUAGCAGUUUGAGAAUUAGCUGUGAAUAAUUGCAGACUAUGAGCCAGUCACUAUAAAAAUGUACUCCUCCAAAGUGAAAAACAUCCUGAUCACCUAUAAUGUUUAGACGAGUUCGGGGGGAAAAAAAAAAAAGAGGCAUAAUUUGGGACUAAGAUCCAUCUGUGCUUUGUUGUGCUUGAGUCAUCACCAACAGAUGGCAAGUACUCUGUAGAAAUCACUCAGCUGAAUUACUCCAGUUUGUGGGGUACCUAAGGCACCACCCUUAGUUCUAACAUUAUACUAUAUAAAUAUUCUGUUUUCUUUGGAGGUUCAGGCAGCUACCAGCAGAGAGGCUGGUGCAUUAUCAUGCUCACAGAUACAUAAUGUUAUGUAAAUAUUUGUAAUAAAUACCUUCCCUUUUAUUUCUCUUGAAACAGUGUGUUUCAUUCCCAGCACAAGACUGCUGAGCUCUGUCAAACUUCAUAGGCUGUGGUUGCAAAAAUAUCCAGCAACAAGCUGGUAUUGACUGUCACUUCCUGUAGGGCUCUGAAGUUGAUGUUACUAUUUCAGAUAGAUUCCUGUUCUGAAAUAUAUGCUAGCUGCUCAAUGACUUUGCAGUUCAGCAGACAUGAGAUGAAUGCAAAAGCUCUCUAUCAUAUAGACUCAUGUUCCCUCUUAAUCUUCAUGCAGGGAAAAUUAUUAUCCCAUUUCAUCAAUUUUGUAUUAGAUUUUCCUGAAAAAAAUGGCAAAAGCAUAUCCUUCUUUAGAGGCUAAAAACAAGUUAGUUAGCAUGUGCUGUUUCCGCAGUACUGGCAUUGACAGUCUCAUUUCUGUAAGUAGAUCUUGCUUUCAGGGUAGCUAGAUACUAUCUUUAGAAUUGAUCUCAUACCUUCCUUCAUAUGCCUCCCUCAACUCAUUAUGAGAUGCAAGUGAGUAUGUGAUUGGAAAAUGAUCUAUUUGCCCAGAACAGACCUCUACCUAGUUAAGCUCCCUAUUUCAUUCAGCAUUAAUUUAGAUGAGGUAGAUAAUAUUCACUGUUCAUGUAAAUAUGCCAUCUACUCAGUCUACCGAGACCACUUGCACUAGUGCUUAAUGAAAUUACGGGUAUGUGAGUAAUGUCUCUGUGUCUCAUCAUAAAAUCUCCAUCAUAUUGCUGACAGUCAUAAAACAGAAGACAUCCUUUGCCAAGGUGCUGUCUGUCCUAUUGAACUUGGACUUUUCUAAGCCUUGAUCAAUGAAGGAAUGCACCUAGUAGGUAGCAAACUGCAGCAUGAUGAACAGAGCAAAGACAAGAGUGUCUAUAAGAGCUGCACUGAAGCCUAGCACCUGCUGUGUCAAGAAUUAUAGAUUAUAUUGGGUAAAAUCCAUUUCUGUUUUGAGCAUAUGCUGCUGCAUCAGACUACAGGGCUAUUAUUUUGUAACAGACAUGCAUAGCUUGCCAAUGCGAUUUUAGAAUAGCCAAAUGGAAUGUGAAGAUUUCAAGUGGGAAGGGAAGGCUGGAUCAAAAUGGUUGUACAGAUGUCUGUACUAUUGUUCAUGCUGUUGCAUCACUGGGAUAUCUUGAUUGUUCACAGAUUUAGUGCUGUGUUUUGUAUUUUUUUAAAACCAAAAUUUUCAUGCCAAUAUUACCACUCUGUACAAAACGUGUGUGGUAUGUGCAAUGCAUAAAUGCACAUGACAAAGUACAGGACAAAAUUUAACUCUUAAGCACUAGAAAACUCAAAUGAUUUCUCAGAAAAUUUGUAGGAAAUGUGUUUGUGGGCAUUUGCUCUGGUGUAGGAGGUGAUGAGAAAAGGAGAAAAAUUAGAGAACCUAUGAAAGCAACUGAUGCUGUAUUGUCAGUCUGAGUUGGGUGGUGGUAAAACUUAUCUUACUCUCAUCACAUACUAAUUUGGUACCACAUACCAAUUUAGUAUGUGAUAUGCUCUAUUGUUUUCUGAACUAAGUGUAGGACCAAAACCUGCAUGCCUGGACAGCACAGAUUUCCCCUAAAUCUAUGGUUGGGAUCCAUUCCAUGUUGCUUUCACUGGAUAUUAUCUUAGGGAAAACUUGUCCUCUACUGUUAAACAGGUGUAGAAUUUUCCUUACAAUGUCAAGUAACCUGUUUGAUACAGUUCUUUUUAAAAAAGGGCUAAUGGUAGUAGUAGAAGCAAGCAAUUACAGAUAUCAACCUUGUUUCCAUCUGUGGAGAGAAUAGCCUAAGCCAGCUCUUAAAAAUAAGAAAAUAAAUAAACUACAUUUGUCUUAUGAUGAUGCUGUGUUUUUUCUUUAAAAUCGAAGUCUACAUAAAUUGCACUUUUUAUGACACUAUUAUCACAUCUUUCACAGUGUAUGGGCAUAAAAGAAUUCAUUUACAUUUUACACUAUAGAUAUUUUAAUAAUUUAUGAAAAUGCAAAAACAUUAUAUAACUUUAAACAUCUCCUGCACCUUCACAUGAUACCACCCGAUAAAGUCAUUGGUAUGAAGAAGGGAACAGAAUAGGAUGGCAGGAUUUAAGACCACUAGAAGAAGGCAGUAGAACAGCAUGAGCUAAAUGAAGGUGCCUUCCAUGUCUUACCCAAGUCAUACAAUACAGUUCUGUGCUUCUCUCUCACUCUUAGCUGACCUGCCAGUAAGUCACACAUAUUAACUUCUCCAACAUUGAUGAGUUGCCAGAGAGUUUGAUUUUUGGGGACAUAAGCAUUUUUAAACCAAGAUCCAGGUUCAAGUGCAGCUGAAUCAGCAGUAGUGCGGAGGUACUAAGUUUUGUUGGAGGGCUGGCAAUGGGAAACUUUACAUGCUAAAACUGGAUCAUCACUCACAAAGCAGAACAGGGGAACCACAAAGUUAAUUGUCUCUUCUGCAUAUGAUACUUUUCAGAGUGUAUGUAAGCUGUGCACUGCCACUCUUCAAAUUAUUCCAGAAUUUGGCACAACUAUCAUGGCAUAGGGGCAAAUGGUUGGUACGUACUUUACAACAUAUUACCGACUUGCUGAAGAAGAUUAAGGUGGUGGUUUUGUUUCUUUCUUUUUUUCUUCUUUUUUAAUUCACCCAUUAUUGGUUUUUUUUUUUUUUUUUUUGGCAAACUUUAAAAAAAAAAUGUGGAAUUUCUACUCUUAAAAGACUGUUUUUCUGUAUUAGAAACUUAAAUACCUAUGCCUAGCUCAGUUUCCAUUACUCUGCAAUUAUUUGAUCUUCACUCAUAUUUUUAUUUCAGUAACACUUAAAUAAUUGUCCUCUGAGAAAGACUUGACCUGCAAAAGUUUUCAAUGUAAUCUUAGAGCACAAAAAUGAAGAAAGAAAACAGAUUUAAACUUUUAAAACAGUGAAUUAUAUUCUGCAGGCAGCAAUUAUUUCUGCUGUCAGCAGGAAUAAAGUUUACUGCUGUAGGAAACUUGUGAAAUGGCAAAUGUGUUCCUGUUAAAUGCCUUGUCAACUGGAAGCAAACAGGACUACACCUUUAGAGAACCAUGAGACUUCCUAUUGUAGCACUGAUAAGGUUUGUGUCCUGAACACCUGCUCAGAAGUAGUUAUGAAGAUGUGAUUUGAAUGAAGAAAAGGAAAUACCGAACUCCUACAUGGCAAAUAAAUUCUGCUUUUUGACUUUCUGAGCUGGGGCCCUCAGCCAGACUAUGUGGGAGAUGGCUGUUCAUCUCCCAGUGAACUUAGUGAUGCCAGUAUCCAAAAGUCAAAGUGGGAUUAACGUGGAUGACUUUGUGAUCAUUAUUAUAUUUCAUUAAAAUUAAUCCUUAUCUCAUUGGUGUAAGUUGUAUCACAGUUAAGUGUGAUGAAAGGCACAAUUCCUGCUUUUUAUUAAAAAAAAAAAAAACAAAAAAACAAAAAAAAAACCCUUGUGUGAACCUUUUGGGAGGAGACAGGAGGAUCAAUUACCUGAACUGCUCAAAUUUUAAUCAAGAACCAAUUAAGAUGGCUUUUUCCCAGAAAAUUAAAAAAAAAAUAAUUUUAAAGUGUAUGUUUUAAAAAUAAUUAAAAUUGUAAUGUAUCUCUAUAUGCAAACUGUUGAAUCACGGUGUGAACAACUGAUUGAUCACCUGAGGCAAGCAAUGAGUCAGCUGUGGGAGCACAGGUGAAAGCAAUUCAAAAAAACAGGAAGGGGUGGAGUCUGUCUCCACCUCUCCUAGACCCCAUUUAAGGGCUGACUGCAACUGGGGCAGGAUGUCUUCUUGGAGAUUCCUCCCUCUGGAGUUUUUCUGUGAGCCUAUGGUAUGGGUGAGCAUUUUCAUUUAUUUUUGAUUACUUCUUUCCUCUGUGAUAAUCCUUCUAUGCAACCUGCAAAAUGCUAGCCUAACCAUGUCACUCUGCUGAUUGUACAAUUGUUCAUGCACAAUCAGGAUCUAUGUGAGUUUGCUUUUUUGGUACCUUCUGAAGGAAAAACAAAACAAAAAACCCCAACAAAACCCCCAGAGCUGUAAAUUUUCACAGGCUGGGACUCAGAAUGAGAUGGCAAUGCUGUUUACUUAGAUAAAUCAGGAACUACUAAUAGAACUUCAAUGCUAAAGGUUAAUAAUAUCAUCAUUGCUAGCUCUUGAAAGAGACCUGACUGCCUAAAGGCAACUUAAUUUUAAACACUGAGACAAGUCAAUCAGUACACACCUAAAAAUAUGCAUCAAGGGAUGCAGUUUGCAUACAUUACAGCUUUGGUCUUCUUCCUAACCUAUGAGAUCUUGAAUUCUUUUGUUCCCUUAUUCAAGAAACCAAGAAUGCUGGUAUAUGUACUUCCGUGUAAGAUAUGCUUGCUGGGUGGCUGGUCACUGAGUAGGGAAACAGAGUUUCUAGGGGAAGGGCAGGGCACAGGCAAAUACUGUUUCUCUCAAAAUUCUGCUCUUCCCAUGCUAGUGUUAAAACAUUUCCCUCACUAGGAAAUUUGUUCAGUGAUGGGGGAUGCUGAUGAGCUGAAAAUGGAAAUGUGAACUCAGCCAACGUGCAUUGACUAAGGCUAGGUUAGAAUGUGGGCCCAUUUUCUCAUUUGUAUGUUUUGCGUUUUCAGAAUUGAUAGUCUGUAAUGUUUAAAGUGGUUAAGGGCAAAGUGGAUAGGAAAAUACAGUGAUGUCGGUAAUGCCUUCUCAGUGCUCUUGGGAGUAGUAUGCUGGAUCAUGAGUAAAUAGAUGUUUCUGACCAGGUGCCAACAGUUUUGGCAAGGCCAUGUUAAAGAUUGUAUCUAUGCAAUUUAGCUUCUUUUAAAAUAUAUUUUUUUAGAAAAUAACUAUUGCAAGCUCCAAGUGUAUUUUUCACUGUGUUUGGAACCCAAACAACGUCAGUGGUGCAGACAGAAAUCUGAUUUCACUUGACAUGUUUAUAACUUUUCCUCUGAAUGUGCUAUGAUCAAGUUUAUUAUGUGAAUAAAUACUCACAUAUUCUGCUAGAGAAGAUAUUUCUCUUAAUGGUCAGAGGGGUGAAUUAAGAAAGGUAUUUUAGUACUAGUCAUCUGCUUUAAUUGUCAGCCUUAGAAAGGAAAUGGCUCUGUACGUUUUGAGUCAAGUGAAAGAGUAACACUUAUGGACAAUAAUUUAGUUAUGCAUUGACUCCUGGAAACAGUACAGCAAACCUGAUUUUAGGUGUGAUGUACAAGAUUAUGAAUUCAAGAACAUUGUAACUUUACUGAGGGCACUGCUCUCAAAACUUUUCUCAACAGUCAUGUUUAAAGCUUAUUUCUAGCUAAGUCCAGUAAUUAAUACUGCAGCAAAAUAUCAGUGAGGAAAAAUAGGCUAUAGAAAAAUACCUUAUCUGUUUUUAACAGUCCUGAGGCUUCUUCUAGAUCUUCGAUGUGUGGGCUGCACCUCCCUCAGAAGGAGCAGCAUGGAAGAAGCAGACCUAUGUGCAGCAGUGAGUCCUAUUUCCACUGUGAACUAGGUUGUGGUAGUGCUACACCUUAGAGGUCAUCUUAUCCUCUGUGGCUCUAUGACUCAGUGGCUGCCUUUCCCAUUUUCUGCCUGGGUCCCUGCACCACUGGGGCUUCUUUUGCACUUAAAUUGACAUGAAAGUUAAUACACUGCAACACAUUUUUAGGACGUUUCACAUUUGCUUCUGGGAAGGACUUUUGCUUCCUACCCUUUCUAUAGAACGCAAGAUCUGCAUGAAACCUCUGUUUUAUCUGCAUGAUUGGAAAGGAAGAUCAUGUGCUCUUUUAUAGAUAAGCAGAAAAAGACUCCUCCAGAAGCUUGCAGCUGAUAUGGAUAGAGAGAACUGAAUGUGGUGAACAUAAUAGAAGAUCUUUAAUUCUAUUUUUUUUGCUGGCCAGUUUGCUCCUAUCUCAUACUCUAUUAGCUGAACCAAUGCCAUGUAAGCCACCUGUCUCUUUGAAUCUUGCUCACCUCUCAGUGUAAUUCUUCAAACCUUUUAUAAACAGUAUAUAUAUAUAUUAAGAACUGUAUAUAUUUAUGUAUAGAACCAUAUGUUUGUACAGUUUUUAUGGGCCUGUAAAGAUUUCAUUUUUAUUUUUGGAUUUUUAAAAACUUUUUGACAACAUUACUUUAAAAAGUAAAUUAUUGUAGAAUUAGUCUCUGUUGGUUUAUGUUCUAUUUUAUAAGAUCUAAUCAGAAAUUUCAUUAAUGUCAGCAAAAUAUAUAUAAAACGUUGCUGAGAUUUUUAGAUGUGGAAGUAUGAAUUCAGCAUUGUGAAAGGAUUGCAAUGGAAGAAAUGUUCACAUAAUAGGUGAAAAAAGCUUUCUGGCCCUGGGUGGGGAAGUAGGUAACAGAUCUGUGCUCUCUGACCUUGUUGCUGUCUCAUUGCUUUUUUUCACUACACAAUUUUAUUAACCACAGCAGAGGUUCAGUCAACAUGUAGAAGCAAGGCAGUGUGUGGGUCUAAUUACUGCAGCAGUAUGUGUGUGCUUGAUGAUGGGCAUUUUGUAGCUGAGAGUGUAACAACAAAGGUAAUAGGCAUCAAAAUAUGAAGCUCUCCAUGAUAACUGGCAAGGACACCUCAAUGUUCUGUAACUGCUGUAGCAAUUAAUUAUUGUGAGGAUCUUCUGAUUGAUUGACUAUUUUUUUUCCUGAAGAGGCAGAGGGCACAGUUUUACAAGCACCCUUAGCAAGGUUGUGGAAAAUUGGUGUAUAUGGACUCCAAUUCCCAAUGACCUUGUUAAGAAGACUCAGCCACCUUGCUUUGCUGCAGUCUUCAAUUCAGAAGACCAAGCACAGUCUUGUAUGAAAGGUAUAAGUACUGAUGAGCUGUAAUGGAAGCAUAUGGAGGCUAGCCAUAAGAAUAAGGGGCAGUGCUAUAGAUUUUGUAGCUGUCAUCAAAAAUAUUCUUCAUUUGUUUGCUCUGAGCAACUUGGAAUCUGUCUUGCACAGAACAGAGAUUUUAUCCCUUGCCUGUUUCCAGCAUGGAAAACAAGUGCUCUGCUUCAGCAAGUGAAUCCAUGCAUGCUUGCUAUACACAUAACUAGCUAUGUGUGAGAAUUAUACCAGCAAUUACUGUUUAGGAGUGCUCUGCAUGCAGAUGCCACAUGGGGCAUUGAAAAAUGUAUCACAUAGUUAUGGGAAACACAAUAGGAAUCUUUCUGCAAGUGAAAUAAUUAUAUUUUAGCCACAUUGGAAUCAAACAAUCUAGCUAGCUCUCUUUAUUCACAUGUAAAAUGAUCAUUUAUGCAAUGUGAUGUACCCUUGUCCAAGUAAUUGUGCUGCAAUAUUGUGUGAAAGUUUUUGUACAGCUCCGUAAUAGCCAUACUGUUAGAUGACAGCAGCAGCAUUAGUACCCUGUAUAAGUAUUUCUAAUCAUGGGCAAAUUUACCUUUUAUUCUAUGCUGGUGUAUCACAUGGUUUUCAUCUUGCACGUAAUUCAGUAGAAAUUAACAGUACUCGAAAUACUUCCCAAGGCCAGUCAGCUCUUCCCAUAAAGCUGCAUUUCUCAGCAGAGAGAGAUGGAUAACUUAAUGUGGGUGUAGAGUGUAAGGGAAUCUUGCUGUUCCAAGGCCUACACCUGGUUAAGACUUUUCGUGGUUUAGAGAAGAGCCCUAAAGGGAAAGCUUGUCAUUCAGGGUCCGUUUAUUUGGUGAGAGAUGGGUAAGGUCACCUGAGGUAGCACUCAGGGAUCUCUAGUGUAACCAUUCAGCAUACUUUUGGAGUGGUCCUUUACCAAAUGCUCUUAAGACAAUUUCAGCAUGAAAUCCUCAGAGGUAACUGAAUAAAAGAGAAGAUACAUACAAUCAGUGCCAUUCCUACCUUGAUGUUAAAGUAAAGACCCAUAAAUUGUUGUCAUGUCUUUAUGUGGUAUUCCUGAGCACCCUAUUCCAGUGACCCAUUAUUGGUCUGAUCUGUUAUGGCUGUUUUUGUGUUCUUAAAUAACAGAACAAUUUUGCUUCUAAUGCCUGCAUUAUCUCAAGUAGCUUGGAACAGGAACAUCUUGAAAAAUACCCUCCAGUGAAAGUCUGAAUGAGGCUGUUUAAUUUAACAAACAAACAAAAAACAGACUUGACUUGAUAGAAUGAAGAGUAACUUCAGCAUAUUAAAAGAGAAGGGUGUAACAAUAUGUGCCCAGAGCGUGGACCUGAACAUAUUCCCAUCAGGCACACAAAUUUAUAAAAGGGAGCACAAUUAGCAGCUGGAGUAGGCAUAAUAAGGGAAGAGAUGAAUUGUCAGUCCCUUCAUGUUUACAGGUUGAGGCUGAAUUCCUUUCAAGAAGAUAUGCCUAAGGCAAUCAUAAAUUAUGCUUUAGUCUCAUUUAUGUUACAAGCUAAAUAUGAGUAAAUAAGAAAAACAGGUGAAAUAAAUGCAUGACACUAACACCAUUGUUCCUUAAGACAUUGAAUAUCUGCAAUAAUGGAAUGAUCUGAAAGUCUCUAAUUUAAGGAUUGAUAAAAUAAAGCAAAUAGGUGCCAUUAUCACAUUUUCAAAUGAGCACUGGGGAGUUAUGCAGAGUAACUCAUUUUCUCACUUUUUAUUUUGGCUAAUGUUUCUUGGAAAAGAUAUAUAGCCUUUCUGGAAGUAGUGCAGCCAUCUCUAAAUCACCUAAAUAAAUGUGCUAUAGCACCUUUCCCAAGUCUGUGUGUAGUAUACAACCACAAUUUGAAAUUGGUUGCAUUCAUUGUGAAUUCUAACUUCUUACUGACUUUUCAAAAAAAAUUUAGUAACACAAAGAGUUCCAACCCUUUGUCAAAAAGUCAAAGUAUUGUUCAUUUGCAAAGUCAACCCCCCUGGCCUCUGAGAACUUGAUGGAAAGUAUUUCCAAAUGCUUCAUGGGGUACUGAAUGUCAGUGAGUGCCAUUUUUAAUUUGUGGAAGAAUUCAAUGAUGCACCUUUACUCCAUAUGAUUUCCUAUGUCAGAUGCAUUCUGUCAGACUGCCCCUCUGCUGCCAUCUGUCACACAGCAACAAAAUAUAACAGAAUAUUGGCGGGAAUGUUUGAUCACUACUUCUAUACUACCAACAUCCACCUCUGACAUUGUGGGGCAACUUAAAAAAUAGGAGGCAUUACUUUUGGAACAGUACUUGUAACAUGUUGGGCAGAAAUUCAGAGCACUACACUUUCUGUUAGAGAAAUAAAAUUUAGGAGUUGUAAUGUAUUCUCCAAUUAAAAAAAUCAUUCACAGCAGUGAUUUUUAUUAUUCAUUUAUUAGCUGGACCAUUGAAUUGAUCUGAAGAAAGGCAUCAUUCUCAGGGACACAAGUGAAGAGUUUCCCAUUUUAUUUUUAUAAGCAAAUAAAUUGCUUUCCUUUAAAAAGGAAUUACUUUGUUAGAAAAAAAGGCAUUACUAUGGCUUACUGUAUGGUUAUUGUUAAGUCUUUAACUAAAUGUUGGUUAUAUUUCUUGUCGGAAGGAAAGUACAGGAUUGCUCUCAUGAGCUUUUAUUUUAUGUGUGCGUUUGGUAAACCUGUAGUAUUCUGUAAUGUUAAAUAAACAGGAGAAUGAAAACCAAAACAAAUGCUAUCUAUAAAAACUUACAGUUGUUAACAUUCACAAUGAAGUUGAUUUUUAAUCAUAUGAAAAAGCAUACAGAUCAGAAAUAAUAAGUUGGUAUUUACUUUGUACCAAGCCAAAAGUGCAAACUUUUGUGUGUGUUAAAAGUAUUCAUCCAAGUCAACAAUGAAUACAGUCAAGCUGUUACACACUUGGGUUGCAGAGUCUUGGCUCUGAAGCUCAGACUGUAGCAGCUGACCCAGGUGAGCUCAGCAGGUCCAUUAUUCUCUCUUGAUGGCCUAAAAGCACGCAUUGACUCAUUAUUCUGUGUGGUAGAAUACAGUGGAAAAUAAUAUGAAAUACAGAGAGUAUAUAAAAAAAACUAUCUGCUUUCAAAAAAUUUAUCUGCUUUCUCAAUUGUAUUAAUUGUGUGCCUGAUGAAAGGUAAUCAGCUGUCCUUAAAUACUUAUGCUUUACAAGCACUGCUACUAAAAUUUGUUUGCUCUCCAAAGCCCUGAAAUCAAGAACUCAAAAAUCUCUUCAUGUUAGUAAACAUGCAGUCCAUUUUUAGUUUCUUAGUAUGCUGGCAUAACACACAAAAAAAUAGUCAAUUCUGGACAAAACAUUUGGAAAUCCAAGUCUGAGACCUAGAACUGCUGCAGUGGCACCUGAAUUAUAAUCUUUCCUGUGUCCGGCUUCUGUAGCAUCUAGUGGUAUACUAGGAUUAAAACAGACACUAAGUGAUUUCAGUUCUCUUUGUUUUGGAAAAAAUAUUAUUUGUGUUCUUGCAAAUGUAUCUGCUCAUUUUGUUUUUCUUCCUAUUGCUGUUGUGAUAUGAAUAUUUUCUACAGUGUGCUACUUCUACACUUGAUUUUUAUAACAUAACUGAAUUUAUAAAGAGGUUUAUGCAGCUGAAUUCUAAUUUUGAUUCUGUAUAGCUGAAACCAGUGCAAGUUUCAAGCUAAUUCUUGCAGACUAAUUGUCUGAUUCAUGCUAAGGCAUAGUGUUCAACAAAUGUAGCAUAAAAUGUAAGGAUUAUGUAGACAAAGCUCAAAGGUAAAUUUGGUGUUCCACUCUGCUGACAACACUUGCUUAUUUGUCAUAACACUCUGAGCUGUUACACUUCAGUAAUUCUCUUUUACACCUCAAAAUAUAUCUGAAGUAUUAUACAGUGUUUCCAUGUUUUAUAUCAAACACAAUACAGUACUUAGGUUGCCCUUUUUAUUUGCUGAGUGCUAUGUUCCAAAGAAGUAAUAAGAUACAGAGAGAUCACCUGAAACCUAUGAUAUAGUUAUGGCCUAUAAGUGCUUUGGUUUUUCUCAGCGUGAGGGUUUGCUAAUUCACAUAUUAAUUGGUGUACACUUAAAAUCACUUUGUCAUUAGGAAUCCAGUCACUUCAUUAAGGCGUAAUAUUAUGAAGAUUAUCUUGUCAUAUUUUCUGUUGUCAUAGUGUACUUUUCCUAUCUAUUAAAAAAAGAAAAAGGAAGUUUAUCCAAAACUGGAGUGUAAAUGCCAGUUAUGAAAGAUUAUAUUUAUGCAUGUGUAGAAUUGUAAAAAAAAUAAAAAAUAAAAUUAUAGCUUGUAUGCUAAUAAAAUUACAUAAGAAAACGGUGUAUGUAUCUCCUAAAUCCACUACUAAAUACAGCUUUGCCGUCAGAGAAAACCAGAUUAAGUCAUUUGGUGUUGUCUAACACUAGGUCACAAACAAUUUUUUCUCUGGUAGUAAAGUAGAUUAAUCCAUUAAUCCUUAUGCAAAAUGUAAAUAUUUAUAUUAGACAAUUAGAACAAGGAUUUUUUUUGUGCUCUUGUUCUCUUUUUCUCUCAAUAUAAACCAGAUUUAUUACUCAGUAACAUUUUUUUUCUUUCCUAUUUUUCUUACUCUGCUGCUUUAAAAUGUAGAUGUAUGUUCUAGAAGAUACUAGGAAAAAAGAGGUCCUAAGCAAGUGCUUACUACUUUUAGAUCAGAAUUUGUCUAUUUUGGAUUUUCUAAAAAAGUAGCUAAGCAUUAUUUCUUGGAAGUUUAAUAUUAUCCUUUUUAGUAGGAGCCAAAAUAUGUUAAUUGUAACUGUAUCUGUGUUAUACCCCCCAAGAUGCAGAACUGUGGUGGAGACUAAUAUCGCUGUGGAAAAAAUCACACGUAAUACUUAGUAAACCAAAGGAAGUCAAGGCCAAUAAUCGCAGAAUAGUGUAAGAUGAUGUAUUGUUUUAUUUUUAUUUAAAGUGAAAAUGGGUUGGGGGCAUAUCUGCAAGCACUUUGGAGGAGAGGUUUAAGAUUCAAAACAAUCUCAUUAAUUAGCAAUUUUGUCUGAAAAGCAAGAUGCGUUUCAAGCAGGACAAAUACAAAUUACUACAUUUCAGUAAGAAUAAUCAGCUGAGAAAUGAAAGAAACUUGCUGGCUAGGCAAAAGUUGCAUAAAAAAUGUAGGGAUGGUUUAUUAAAGUGAAGACAAGUUGCCAGUUUUAUAUUGUUGUAGAAGAAAUAAAAAGAAAAAAAAAAACAAGCAUCUGGUAUCCUUGUUUGGGUUAUUGUGAUUGGACAAAAUGCUGACCAGCUGGAGAUGCCGUGAAGAUAAGCAUGGAGAAUGAUGAGAUGUCUAGAAAGCAUGACCUGAUGAGAAGGGAAUUAACCUGUUUCUUUGAGCCAAUUAUAGAAUGUAAUGAGCUAAUAUUGCAAGAAGGGAUUGGUAGACAUUAGGAAGUAUUUUUUAGAUGGGAGAUGGGAUUGUCUGCAGAGAAGUGUUGCAAAAUAUACAUAUCUGGAUUUUUUUUAAUGAAUGGAAUACAGAAAUGCUUGUGAGAAUGAUUGUUAGUGCAGUUGGUAGUGGCAUAGGAGGAAGAAAUAGGUAAAGUUAUUUUGAUUUACUUCAAUUUCUUUUUUAUAUGGGUAGUAAAUACUAGUAUUCCAAUAUGGAAUUACAUAAAUGAAAGAAAGCUUAAAAAGAAGCAAACAAAAACUACUAUCUCAGAAUGCCUGAUUUUUGUUUUAAUCAUUUUAAAUUUUUAAAAAAUUGAGACUCUUUGAAUAUUUUCACUUCACUGUAUAUACUAACUAGUUUAGCUUCUGCAUUGGCAGUUAAAACAACAUCAAAUAUCAGAAGUUUUACUUACAUAGCCUCUUACACAUGUAGGAAACUACCUACCUGCAUGGAUCUACCAAGAUAGAGAGAUCUAUAAAGUCACUGCUUUAUCUUUCCCUUACAUCCCUCCUUAAAACUUGCUGUGGCUUGAGGCUUGACCAGUAUUCAGCAAGUUACACUACUGGAAAGUUGUAAUGGAAACUAUUAUUUUCAAGUUUCCAUGGGGAGAACCUGUUUUUUUCCCCUUCUAUUCCUCUUUCCUUGUUUAUUACUUGCAGCACAAGAAUGUUUUUAGAUGGAUGAGAAAUCUCUCAAAAUACUGUCUCUCGGCCAAAUGCCAGUGUUUCAGUAGGAAUGCCCACUGCUUUGUAUCAAUGUUGCUAUAGAAUCCAAAUUUCAGCUGACUUGAAUUUUUGUCAGCUGAUAUGUUUCUAGUCAAAAUGUAUUGAAAGCAGAAAAUGCAGCUGAAUGGCCUUCAAAAAAAAAAAGAGUCCAAAUUCACACUGAAUGUGGAAAAAUUUUUCUAAUCUUGCAGUUUCCUUUGGAGUGUAUCACUGAAACAUUUUAUUCCUCCAACCUUCUUUGAUUUUUGCCACUUUAGAAGGAAGUCUUUCUCUGGCGAUUCUUGAGAAAUUACAUUUUCAAAUACUCUACUGCA
rnacentral:lncRNA from 1 species